GAGAACAUUCGCCAAUCACAAGGAACGUAGUCUAUGAAGAAAUCGUUCGUCGUUUAUAGUUUCGUUCUUACAUGGUUAGUUCUUUCAAAUUUGGUAUUGCUUACUGAUUUAUGCUAGGUUUAUUAUAGAUUUUAUGAAUUUUUUUAUUGGGUUAAAACUGACAUAAAAUGUGGAAAGGUGUUAAUCUUCUAGGUGCAUGGUUACAUACUGCACUUCCUACCUACUGAUAAAUUAACAUGUAAACUUUUCUAUUGACCAAUUUACAGCUUAUGGUUCCUCAUGUGCACAACGAAAACCAACCUUCGGCAUUCAAGGAGUGCUUCGCUGCCGUAGAUUCCAGCAUGACACGUCUGAUGCCGUGGGAGGAACCAGUGAAGCCUACGAUUGCUAAUGCCAUCUUGGAGGAUUAUGCUGAACGGUUAGAGAUGUCCAAGCCGACGGACGGAGAAGGGGUGUUAACAAUCUGAAGCUUGCCGAAAUUAAAAUCGAUGAUGGUGCGGCAUCAAGCAAGUCCAACAAGAUUGCUUAGAUGUUGUCGUUGCAUCGAGGAGAUCAGGUCGUAUUUCGUAGUUUUUCAUGUGUAAAAAUAUCUGUCUUUGUACUUCUAU
rnacentral:lncRNA from 1 species